rnacentral:rRNA from 1 species
GAUCCUAGCUCAGGAUGAACGCCUAGCGACAGGCUUAACACAUGCAAGUCGAGGGGCAGCACAGGGUAGCAAUACUUGGGUGGCGACCGGCGCACGGGUGAGUAACGCGUAUGCAACUUACCUAUCAGAGGGGGAUAGCCCGGCGAAAGUCGGAUUAAUACCCCAUGAAGCAGGGGUCCCGCAUGGGAAUAUUUGUUAAAGAUUCAUCGCUGAUAGAUAGGCAUGCGUUCCAUUAGG